UCCGGUUUGUCACCGGCAGUCUCCCUAGAGUGCCCGGCUUUACCCGCUGGUAACUAGGGACGAGGGUUGCGCUCGUUGCGGGACUUAACCCAACAUCUCACGGCACGAGCUGACGACAGCCAUGCAGCACCUGUGCACGGACUCCGAAGAGGGGCCGAUGUUUCCACCGGCUUUCCCGUGCAUGUCAAGCCCAGGUAAGGUUCUUCGCGUUGCUUCGAAUUAAAGAACAUGCUCCGCUGCUUGUGCGGGCCCCCGUCAAUUCUUUUGAGUUUUAGCCUUGCGGCCGUACUCCCCAGGCGGAACACUUAACGCGUUGGCUGCGGCACAGAACCCGUGGAAUGGAUCCCACACCUAGCGCCCAACGUUUACGGUGUGGACUAC
rnacentral:misc_RNA from 1 species